GCAAGUCGAACGAGAGAAUUGCUAGCUUGCUAAUAAUUCUCUAGUGGCGCACGGGUGAGUAACACGUGAGUAACCUGCCCCCGAGAGCGGGAUAGCCCUGGGAAACUGGGAUUAAUACCGCAUAGUAUCGAAAGAUUAAAGCAGCAAUGCGCUUGGGGAUGGGCUCGCGGCCUAUUAGUUAGUUGGUGAGGUAACGGCUCACCAAGGCGAUGACGGGUAGCCGGUCUGAGAGGAUGUCCGGCCACACUGGAACUGAGACACGGUCCAGACACCUACGGGUGGCAGCAGUCGAGAAUCAUUCACAAUGGGGGAAACCCUGAUGGUGCGACGCCGCGUGGGGGAAUGAAGGUCUUCGGAUUGUAAACCCCUGUCAUGUGGGAGCAAAUUAAAAGAUAGUACCACAAGAGGAAGAGACGGCUAACUCUGUGCCAGCAGCCGCGGUAAUACAGAGGUCUCAAGCGUUGUUCGGAAUCACUGGGCGUAAAGCGUGCGUAGGCUGUUUCGUAAGUCGUGUGUGAAAGGCGCGGGCUCAACCCGCGGACGGCACAUGAUACUGCGAGACUAGAGUAAUGGAGGGGGAACCGGAAUUCUCGGUGUAGCAGUGAAAUGCGUAGAUAUCGAGAGGAACACUCGUGGCGAAGGCGGGUUCCUGGACAUUAACUGACGCUGAGGCACGAAGGCCAGGGGAGCGAAAGGGAUUAGAUACCCCUGUAGUCCUGGCAGUAAACGGUGCACGCUUGGUGUGCGGGGAAUCGACCCCCUGCGUGCCGGAGCUAACGCGUUAAGCGUGCCGCCUGGGGAGUACGGUCGCAAGAUUAAAACUCAAAGGAAUUGACGGGGACCCGCACAAGCGGUGGAGUAUGUGGUUUAAUUCGAUGCAACGCGAAGAACCUUACCUAGGUUUGACAUCUGGGGAACCCUCCCGAAAAGGAGGGGUGCCCUUCGGGGAGCCCCAAGACAGGUGCUGCAUGGCUGUCGUCAGCUCGUGUCGUGAGAUGUUGGGUUAAGUCCC
rnacentral:rRNA from 1 species